GAGGGGAGUGAGGUGACAAAACAGGAGAACAGACAGGGAGCCAUUAGGCUGGGAGAGCAUGGUAGGACUGACACAGAGAGCUGAGGGGUUCUCUGUGUCAGAGAAGUUCAACAUAGCCAGGCUUUCUUUCGCUGCAGUACCAGUAGCGUAAAAAGGACUUGGCAGCAAAUCAGGACCAAGCAUAAAAACAUCCUCCAAAGUGGAGGAGAUCAAUGAUGAGGAGACACUGUCUGGACACUCAGGGAUGGCUGUGAGGGAAGAGGAAAAUAUGCAACACUCCCCUGAGCCUGUGGCCUCCACCUCUAGGCCUUCAAGAAUGCAAAGGGUUGGAGCAGACAAUGUGAGGGUCCUAUACAAAAGGAACCUGGAGCUGGACAAUAUUAAAAAAGAACAAGAAAUCAAAAAGCUCAAAUUGGAAAUUGAGCAACUGGAGAAGGUAUUGCAGUAAAUGGUAU